UGAUCCUCUGGAAAUGGAGCAAUUGGAAUGAAAAAGGAGCAUGGGGUGGCAUAGCUCAGGAGAGAAAAUGACCUAUAAUGGCAUAGCAUAGCAACCUACUUCUCUAGCUCUUCCUGCAAAUGGCUAGGGAAAAAGUGUGGUUCCUGGCAGAUAGGCUCCAAUCUACUUUUACUUAUCUGGCAUUUCCAGCAAGUUCUCUUCUCAUCCUAGAUAGCUUAUCUCUUCAAGGGAGUCCAAGUGGUCCUAUUGCUGGAAUCACAAAUCUGAUUAACAUGUUGGGGUUUGGGAGUGGGAAGGACACAAAUUUCUUACUAUGACUUGGUAGGUUUUGAUUUUCUCUCUGAAUAAAAGGACAUUUACUUCUAUUAAGGAAAACCAUGAUUUGACUUUCACAAUUUUAGGUGUUUCAUGUGUUUUCAUAGAGCAAUUGCGUUUUUGAGUUAGUCUGUCCUUUCCUUGGAAGUUGGGGGAAGGACGUGUGCUGUGCUGACCUCCCACCCCCCUUGUCCCUUGCAUCCGGUCUGCCUGGCCACUGUCCCAAGCAGCUUUGAGCACCGGUUCAUCACUCUGGUGUCUGAGUCUCUGGAGACACACGCACAUUCUGAAUUCAGGAUAUGUGAAUCAUGCCAAGCUCAGAUGAAUCAGGGUAUGUAAGAAUGAAGCUCUGUGAACAAGAACCUCGUUGAUCUUGUUCUCCACUGUAUCCUCACGAACUACCACAGGAUUACAGAUAAUAAAGAAAAUGUUGACAGAGUGCUUUCUACAGGCAAGCUGCACUGUAUAGCCCCAGGGGCAUCACUUAUCCUUUACCAGAAUCCUCUGUGGCUACUGUGGAGAAGAGAGAGCCAGCAUCAUCUAUUCUGGAUCAGAAUCACCUCUGUUAGUCUUAGAGGGCACCUUGAUGUUUCAGUGGCCCCAAUUCACUCCAUGGGGAAUAUUCAAGGAAUCAUGAUAGGCCUAAGUCCAGUGGAAUUCAACAAAGGUUGCCUUGUGCCCUUUCUGUGGAGGACACUUGAGAGGCAUUGCAGGUUGUCAGAAGAGAUGGAGAAGUAAUCAUAGGCAUUGGUGAUGUUGGUUACUAGCUGGAGUGCCAAAGACAUCCAUCUGUCAAUAAAAUGUGUAAGAUGUUGGUCAAGCCUGGAGCCUCUGACACUGAACACCCUGCUGGGGACUAAAGAUGGCACUCUAACGAGAGUGCAACUGCCUGAAGGAGGGUAUUUUCAGCUCAAUUAGACUUCUUGACCAAAAUAUCCAAUCUGUAAUAAAAUCUGGAAUAGUCCUGAAGUUUAUGGCUGGGAAGAUUUGGUAUUCCAUCAACAUUAUGCCCUAUAACCCACUGAUUCAAUGGUUGAGAGCUUUGGAUACCAUUUUGCAGCUCCUCUUUGAUCAAGAUCUUCAAUCUGAAUCUUUAGUUUAUUUGAGAAAUCUGAAUGCCUUGAGUUUACUCUUUCUUUCAAGAAGGGCACACCUGAGCAAUGUAUUGAUCUGAAAGGAAAAGAAGGAAUGUAAA